UGCCUUUGAGUGGAGAAUCCUAUAAAAGUUAAUGGCUUUGGCCCAGUACAUCAUGGGUAAAACUCUCCCAAACAUUGAGAACAUCUACAUGAAAUGCUGCCGUAGAAAAAGCAGCAUCCAUCAUCAGAGAUCCUCACUAACCAGACCAUGCUCUUUUCUCACUGCUGCCUUCAGCUAAGAAGUACAGGUGCCUCAGGACUUACACCAUCAGGUUCAAGAACACUUACUACCCCUCAACCAUUAGGCUAUUGAACAAAAGGGGAUAACUGCACUCAUUUAAGGACUCUGUUAAAUUGUUAUUUCGUGCUUAUUAUUUAUUGCUAAGUAUUUAUAUCUGAAUUUGCAUAGUUUGGUUAUAGUUAACAGUUCCUAAUGUUUGCAGUUACUGUUUGACAGAUUUGCUAAGUAUGCCAACAGAAAAAGAAUCUCAGGGUUGUAUGAUGUGACAUGUAUGUACUCUGGUAAUAAAUUUUACUUUGAGUUCCUCCAGCAUUUUGUGUGUGUUGGUUAGAUCUUCAGCAUCUGAAGAUUUUCUCAUCUUUGGGUUCAUGGGUUCUGUACUGUUUGGAGUUUAGAAGGAUGAAGGAAGAUCUCAUUGAAACCUAUCGAAUAUUGAAAGUCUUGGAUGAAAUGGAUGUGGAGAGGAUGCUUUCCCAUAUUGGGGAGUGUAGCACCACAGGGCACAGCCUCAAUAGAGGGGCAUCCAUUUAGAGCAUAGUUGAGGAGAAUUCUCUUAAGCCAUAUGGUAGUCAGUCUGUGGAAUUCAUUGCCAUUGGUGGCUGUGGAGGCCACAUCAUUGGAUGUAUCUGCAGCAGAGGUUGAUAUGUUCUUGAUUAGUCAGUGCAUCAAAGGUAAUGGGGAGAAGUGCAGGAGAAUGGGGUUGAGAGGGAUAAAAUGCUUCAUCUAUGAUGGAACAGCAGAGCAAACUCAAUGGCCCAAAUGGCCUAAUUCUGAUCCCAUGUUGUAUGGUCUAAAAUGCUUUGUCAAUGUUUUUCUUUAAGCGUUAAGUAAAUAAAGCUAAACUUUUAAAUUAUUUCAGUGUGAUAAAGGCUCUCAGAGCAUUCUCUAGACCAGGGGUUCCCAACUUUAUGCCACAGACCCCGACCAUUAUCCGAGGAGUCCAUUGACAAAUUUUCAAAAGAUUAAGUAAACUCGUCUUGCACAGCAACUCAUAAAGCUGUCCUGCAUGAUGGCGCCCACCGUAAAAUGCACUAACGGAUUCUCUCUGCUUGUCCUGAGGUGGCAGUGGCUCGCAGGAAGAUAACCUAUACCAGAGAGAUUAGAGGAAUUUCUUAUGAUGGAGCAGGAUGCAUUGUGUGUGCAGAAGCAAAGACCUGAAAGAUAAAUUAUUCUGAGAAUGGUCAAUCACUAAUUAAUUGAUGCUGUGAGUCCGAACAUGAUGCCAGGAAUAUUUGGAGGAAACCACGGUCUUGCAAUCCGAGGUGGUGCAAUUUCCGAACCAGGCAGUGAUGCAGCUGCUCAGAUACUGCAUGAUCUGUGGAUUAUUGUCCUCAGCAUUUUCGGUGUCUCCUUAAGUUCAUGAAAGUACUGAAUGAAGAACUCUUGGAGGAAGAAAUUGGAUUUCAUUAUCCAGCACAUCAUACCUUAAACCGCUAUGGACAGACAGUAUCCUCAGAAGAAGGACAAGAAUUGCUCAAGGAGAUGGCUCAUCACUAUCUUCUCAAGAUCAUUUAGGAAUGAGUAUUACAAGUUGGCCUGAGCUUGAGGUGGGACUUAAACAUCAGGUGAUUGAUGGUGGUCGUUCAUCCAUAACAAAAAUGGCUAAAGCAGACUAAAUGAAAAAGAAAUGUAGAAAGUAUACUGUGAAAUAUCUGAAAUACAGAUUGAUACCAGCAUCAAGAAGUCAUCAACAGCCAAUGUGUGAAAAAAAACUUCUUAAAAUGAAGCAAUGAAACUGUUCAGGUUCCUCAAGAUUUGAAGAGAAUACAGUCUGGCGAAGCAAACACAAACCUGGCUUAUGUUCAGUUACUUUGUGAAAACUUACAGAAACAGAAAAGACUUUGAAACAUAAGUAACACAUUCAAAUACUGGAGGAACUCAGCAGAGCAGACAGCACCUAUGGAAAAGAGUAAACAGUCAUCAUUUCAGCCAGAGACCCUUCAUCAGAAUGCUGUCUGGUCUGCUGAGUUUCUCCAGCUUUUAUUGGUGUUGCUUUGGAUUUCCAUCUUCUACAGAUUUUUUCAUGUUUGUGACACCUUGAGACAUGUGUGCCAGCAUUUCACAACAAAACACUGAUGCUUCAGGCAACAUUUCAUUGCUCAUUAUGAAAUCUGGAAAGACCCGUAAAAUUGGAGAAUGAUUCUGCCAGCAGUAGGAGUGUAUCUGAGUACAGUUUUGCGUAAGUUACCAGACCAAAUAAUUAAGGAGAUUCCACUCAGCAACAACUCUGUUCCAAGAUGAAUAGAUGACAUGUCUGAGAAUGUGGAAGACACAUUGUGCAACAUACUUGGGAUGACAGAAUUUGCUCUGCAGUCAGAUUAGUCAAAUUUGCCAGAUGACAAAUCUUUGCUAUUUUGUUGUUUGCUUCAUGAAAGUUGAAAGCAUAGUUCAAGAGCUGUUAUUUGCAAGGGAACUAGAAAUGUACAAAGAGCGAGUCAAUAUUUUGGGUUGUUGAGCAAUUUUUCAAAGAGAAGAACAUCCUGCUCACUAACAUUAUUGCUUGUACAACAGAUGGGGUACCGUCAAUGAAAUGAUACCACCGUUGGAUUACUGCUUUCUUGAAAAAAGCUGAACCUAACAUCACAUACAGCAUCUUGUCACAAAAAAACCUAAGUAAUCGGCUGCACAAAUCAUUAAAUACAGUUAUCAUAGUGGUAAAUAAAAUCAAGUCCCAUUAUCUCAAUUCUCGACUAUUUUGAGAGCUUUGUAUUGAAAAUGAUGUAAAGUUUGAAUGCUUUGUGUUACACACAGAAAUCAGAUGGCUCUCAAAUGGAAACUGCCUGGGGGACAUUAAAGCACUUUUUGAAACUGAUAAAAUUGUUUAAGUAUUCAAAUGCUUCAUCAGUAAUCAACUCAAGAAUACUUACUUAUCAGAAUUAUUCACACAGUUUAAUGAAAUCACACUCAAUUCCAAACAAAUAAUCUGAAUCUUAUCAAAAUCAAAUCAGUUGCCUCCACAUAUCUGUCCAAGUUAACCCUAUUUAAGUGCACCAUUGGCCAUCGGACCUUUUCCAAUUUCUGAGCCUCUUUCAGUUGGAAGAGAAAGUAAGAAUACCAGAUGAUGAUCUUCAAGUGUACCGUGUCCAUGUGGGGGAGCUGUAUAAAGUCAUGUCCGAGCCAUUUCAGGAUCUUCUCUCGAUCCAAGUUCCAGAUUGAGUAAUAGAUCCAUUCUUGAACACUUGUACUAAGGUUUUAACAGGAAGGAUGGAGGAACAACUUAUCUCACAACAAAAUCGAGGUUAAAAAAACAUAUCAAAACUUUUGGUUGCAGAAAGAAAUCUCUGAAUGCAAUCUUGCACUGUGGAAAAGGUCAUGGUGUUCUUUAUUGCUUUUCCAACAUCAUAUUUAGUGGAGCGCGAUUUCAGUACAGAUGGCCAGCUUCAUUCAAAGCAAUGAAACAGACUGCAAAUUACUGAACAUGGGGAUCUGAGACUCCUUCGGAGUGACGUUCAGCUGAUGUUGAAAAGCUGAUGUCACUGCACCAGUCCCAUCAUCUCAGUAAGCAGUGAAAAAGCAAUGAAAUAGUGACUAGCUGUACUAUUAAUGUACAAUCUAAAACUGAUGAUGAAAUUUGUUUUUAGUAAAUAAAUAAAGAAUUAAUUCUAUUUGUAGAUUUAAAUAGAUUUGAAUAAUUUUUGCAAUUAUUUGUUAAUUCUUUCAACAUGCAUUUCUUAUUUUCCUUCACUGUGCAUUGCAAGUCUAAAUUUUUUAUAGUUUUUAUGUAAUGUUCGGAAAGGGAGGUGGU